AACGAACGCUGGCGGCGCGCCUAAUACAUGCAAGUCGAGCGAGAAGGUGUAGCAAUACACUUGUAAAGCGGCGAACGGGUGAGGAAUACAUGGGUAAUCUACCAUCGAGUGGGGAAUAACCAACCGAAAGGUUGGCUAAUACCGCGUACGCCUCCGGGUCUUCGGGUUCGGAGGGAAAGCUGCACUGUGAGUGUAGCGCUCUUUGAUGAGCUCAUGUCCUAUCAGCUUGUUGGUAGGGUAACGGCCUACCAAGGCUUUGACGGGUAGCUGGUCUGAGAGGACGAUCAGCCGCACUGGCACUGCGACACGGGCCAGACUCCUACGGGAGGCAGCAGUAAGGAAUAUUGCGCAAUGGGCGAAAGCCUGACGCAGCGACGCCGCGUGGGGGAUGAAGGUCUUCGGAUUGUAAACCCCUUUCGGGAGGGAAGAUGGAGCGAGCAAUCGUUCGGACGGUACCUCCAGAAGCAGCCACGGCCAACUUCGUGCCAGCAG
rnacentral:rRNA from 1 species